CGGGCCUAACACAUGCAAGUCGAACGAGAAAAUCCCUUCGGGGGUGAGUACAGUGGCGCACGGGUGAGGAACGCGUAGGUAAUCUACCCUCUGGCGGGGGACAACACUCCGAAAGGAAUGCUAAUACCGCGUAAGACCACACCUACUACGGUAGGAGCGGUUAAAGGUGCCUCAAAGCACCACCAGAGGAUGAGCCUGCGUCCCAUCAGCUUGUUGGUAAGGUAACGGCUUACCAAGGCGAAGACGGGUAGCUGGUCUGAGAGGAUGAUCAGCCACACUGGUACUGGAACACGGACCAGACUCCUACGGGAGGCAGCAGUGAGGAAUAUUGGGCAAUGGGCGCAAGCCUGACCCAGCCACGCCGCGUGUGUGAUGAAGGCCUUCGGGUCGUAAAGCACUGUGGGGAGAGACGAAACAGCGCAUCAGGAAAUGGUUGCGCCUUGACGGUACCUCCUUAGCAAGCACCGGCUAACUCUGUG
rnacentral:rRNA from 1 species